rnacentral:rRNA from 1 species
GAUGAACGCUAGCUACAGGCUUAACACAUGCAAGUCGAGGGGCAGCACAGUGUAGCAAUACAUGGGUGGCGACCGGCGCACGGGUGCGUAACGCGUAUCCAACCUUCCCGAUACUCAGGGAUAGCCUUCCGAAAGGGAGAUUAAUACCUGAUGGUGUUUCAAUUCCGCAUGUUAAUGAAACUAAAGAUUUAUCGGUAUCGGAUGGGGAUGCGUGACAUUAGAUAGUAGGCGGGGUAACGGCCCACCUAGUCUACGAUGUCUAGGGGUUCUGAGAGGAAGGUCCCCCANACUGGAACUGAGACACGGUCCAGACUCCUACGGGAGGCAGCAGUGAGGAAUAUUGGUCAAUGGUCGGAAGACUGAACCAGCCAAGUAGCGUGAAGGAUGAAGGUUCUAUGGAUUGUAAACUUCUUUUAUACGGGAAUAAAACCUUCCACGUGUGGGGGCUUGUAUGUACCGUAUGAAUAAGCAUCGGCUAACUCCGUGCCAGCAGCCGCGGU